AGCCCCAUAGUACAGUGGUCAAGUAUGGCUGGUUCUGGGCCAGCUGACGCAGGUUCGAAUCCUGCUGGGGCUA
rnacentral:tRNA from 1 species